ACAACCGAUUUCUCUGGGCUGCGGAUCUGGAGAGCGUCCUUAAGAGUGGUAUGGGUGGUCGACAGAUGUCUUUGUUCCGGCAACAGAUAGGGAGCGACAGUCAUGAAGGGUUAGAGAGUCAGCCGAUGCCUUUAAUGGGCCAUUUUAAACAGUCUCUGUCCAGGUGAGCCAUGGGGUAUGUAGGAUGGACCGGGCCACUGUGAGUUUCAGUUCCCAUUGCUUUUGUCUGUCUCCGACCUGUGUCACCU